rnacentral:rRNA from 1 species
UACGUAGGGUGCGAGCGUUAAUCGGAAUUACUGGGCGUAAAGCGUGUGCAGGCGGUCUGUUAAGACAGGUGUGAAAUCCCCGGGCUUAACCUGGGAAUUGCGCUUGUUACUGGCAGACUAGAGUGCGUCAGAGGGAGGUGGAAUUCCACGUGUAGCAGUGAAAUGCGUAGAGAUGUGGAGGAACACCGAUGGCGAAGGCAGCCCCCUGGGCUAGCACGUGACGCUCAGGCACGAAAGCGUGGGGAGCAACAGG